rnacentral:rRNA from 1 species
GCAGGUGCAUGCCUCUAGCAUGAAGUCAGACAAGUGAACCCGCUGAAUUUAAGCAUAUCAAUAAGCGGAGGAAAGGGCGAAUUC